AUGAGUCGACCUGAUAGGAUCAACAUCCCCGACGGCAAGUUCUACCUUGGAGAUGCUGGCUAUGCAUGUCGGCCGGGUAUUCUUCCGCCCUUCAGGAAAACAAGGUACCAUCUCAACGAGUUCUCUGGUAGGAACUAUCCUAGGACUGCAGAGGAGCUGUUUAAUCUCAGACACUCCAGCCUUAGAGUAACUGUUGAGAGGGCAUUUGGAGCUCUGAAGAAUAGGUUUAAGAUCCUGGAUCAGAAGCCAUUCCACCCAUACUCCACUCAGGUUAAGCUAGUUCUUGCUUGUUGCAUUCUGCAUAACUGGAUCCUCCAGUGGGGCUUUGAUGAACACGUGCCUGAGGAGGAAGAUGUCGAGCCUGACGAUGUUGUUAGCUCCGGCCAUGGUGUGGAGGCAUUUGACAAUGACGCUUGGAAGAACAAAAGGUUGGAGUGGGCAGAGGCGAUGUGGCUUAACAGAGGUCAGUGCAGGAUUUGA
rnacentral:rRNA from 1 species